rnacentral:lncRNA from 1 species
CUUCCAUGACUUUUGAGUGAAUAGUAACCGUAUAUAUGAAUAGUACUAGUAUACAAAAAUAGUAACUGUGCACGUAAAUAGUACCUGUAUGCGUGAAUAGUACUAUACGUGAAUAGUACUAUACGUGAAUAGUGAUGGGCUUAACAGUGACGGGCUCAGCAACAGUAACGCCAAUAGUAACUAUUCACCAUCAACCACGAGUUACUAUUUUACUAUUCAUCACUAAGUCGAUUAUUUAUUUUCACCAGCGGACUGCACCAACGGACUCGUCGUAAUUUUCUCGUUUUCGUGGUAUAUUUAUUUUCAAAAUAUAUCCACAGAUCUGGUACAGCUAUCAAUCUGGUUGGACCGACCGAAACCUUCAGCUCUGAUACCACUUAUUAGGAUAUCGGCAAUAAAGUUACGAGAAUAAUUACGCAGCGAAAAAAUAAAAAUUGGGACACACAAAAAUUUACAUGGUUCACCCUCAACUGUUUAGGGCUACGUCCACGGGACCAACUCCAAAUAUUUCUUCCACUAUGAAAAAUAGUAGGCUUAGAGAGUAAUACAAAAUAGUGGCACUCACAAG